rnacentral:lncRNA from 1 species
GCAUCAUCCUGGAUCGUCGCUGGCUGUCUCAGCAUAAUCUUUUUCAUUAAUUGGGCAGAGAAAACAUCUUGCAUGGAGUUCUUUUUUCAUGCUGUCUUGUGUCUGCCCCCCACUGUAACCGAUUUUUGUAAUUUGAACAGUAUUUUACUGUAAUAUGUACAGUAAGAUACUGUAAAAUGUGUAUACAGUAUUUUACUGUAAACAGCAAAGGAUUAUGGGAAAAUAUACGGUCACUACUGUAUUUCCUCACUACUGUAAAUCAAUUUGCAGUAGUGAACUUGCCCGCGAAAACUGACCAAUGGGCUAGGGAGUUCUUUUUUGACUGUUUGGUGGAAGUGGCUGUAAAAGGACAAAAGAAAAAUGCACCGUUAACUCGACAAAAGCCUUUUUUUCUGACAGACGAAAAGGCCAAAAGGCUGAUAACAUCGACUGCUGAAUUUCUAGUCUGGAUGUAG